GUUUCCUGGGCCAACACUGUAUGCUCGCACGGGAGAUACUAUAAUCGUCGAUGUCUAUAACAAGGGCAAUCGUAACAUUACUAUCCAUUGGCAUGGAGUUAAGCAACCAAGGAAUCCAUGGUCGGACGGCCCUGAUUAUAUCACGCAAUGCCCAAUCCAACCAGGAGGCAGCUUUACCCAAACUAUCAUAUUUUCCUCUGAGGAAGGCACCCUCUGGUGGCAUGCUCACAGCGAGUGGGAUCGAGCCACCGUCCACGGCGCUAUAGUCAUCUACCCCAACAAAGGAGCCACUUACUCUUUCCCCAAGCCUCAUGCAGAAUUUCCAAUCAUCUUAGGGGAGUGGUGGAAGGAAGAUAUAGGACAGCUUUAUAAUGAAACUAUUCAAAAUGGAGGGGACCCUAACAUUUCCAAUGCUUUCCUCAUCAAUGGUCAACCUGGCGA